ACGCUCGACACCUACGGGAGGCAGCAGUGGGGAAUAUUGCACAAUGGGGGGAAACCCUGAUGCAGCGANCGCGNGAGAAGGAAGAGUAUCUGUAUAGAACUUCUAGUACAGCAGGGAAGAAAUGACGGUACCNGACUAAGAACGCCCCGGACUAACUACGUGCCANCNCGCGGUACGUACUGNGACGGCGCGNGACGNG
rnacentral:rRNA from 1 species